GACGAACGCUGGCGGCGUGCUUAACACAUGCAAGUCGAGCGGAAAGGCCCUGCUUUUGUGGGGUGCCCGAGUGGCGAACGGGUGUGUAACCCGUGAGUAACCUGCCCUUGACUUUGGGAUAACUUCAGGCAACUGGGGCUAAUACCGGCUUGGAGCUCCUGCAGCAUGGUGGGGGUUGGACAGCUUAGGCGGUUGGGGAUCGACUGCCGGCUUAUCAGCUUGUUGGGGGGGUAGCGGCUUACGCAGGCAUUGACGGAUAGUCGGCCUGAGAGGGUGACCGGGCACAUUGGGACUGAGAGACGGCCCAGACUCCUACGUGAGGCAGCAGGGGGGAAUAUGGCACAAUGGGCGGGAGCCUGAUGCAGCAACCCCGCGAGCGUGAUGACGGCCUUCGGGUGGUAAACCGCUUUCGCCUGUGACGAUGCGUGUUUGACGGUAAUGAGUGAAGAAGCACCGGCUAACUACGUG
rnacentral:rRNA from 1 species